rnacentral:rRNA from 1 species
UACGGAGGGGGCUAGCGUUGUUCGGAAUUAUUGGGCGUAAAGAGCGUGUAGGCGGCCAGGUAGGUCUGCUGUGAAAACUCGAGGCUCAACCUCGAGACGUCGGCGGAAACCAUCUGGCUAGAGUCCGGAAGAGGAGAGUGGAAUUCCUGGUGUAGCGGUGAAAUGCGCAGAUAUCAGGAGGAACACCGAUGGCGAAGGCAGGUCUCUGGGCCACUACUGACGCUGAGAAGCGAAAGCAUGGGGAGCGAACAGG